CGCCUGUUUAUUAAAAACAUGGCUUAUUGAUAAUAAUUUUAGGUYUGACCUGCCCAAUGAUAUUAUUAUUAAAUGGCCGCGGUAUUUUGACCGUGCAAAGGUAGCAUAAUCAUUAGUUUUUUAAUUGAAAGCUUGUAUGAAAGGUUUGAUGAGAAAAAAGCUGUCUCUAUUUAAAUUAAUUAGAAUUUUAUUUUUAAGUAAAAAAGCUUAAAUAUGUAUAGAAGACGAGAAGACCCUAUAGAGUUUUAUAAUUAAUUUUAUAAAUGAAGUUUUGGAAUUUAUUAGUUUAUAAAAUUAAUUAUUUAGUUGGGGUGAUUGAAAAAUUUAAUUAACUUUUUUUUUAUUAAAACAUUUAUUGAUGAAUAUUUGAUCCUUUAUUAAAGAUUAUAAGAUAAAAUUACCUUAGGGAUAACAGCGUAAUUUUUUUUUAGAGUUCAAAUUAAAAGAAAAGAUUGCGACCUCGAUGUUGGAUUAAAAGAAAUUAUUGGUGUAGAAGCUAAUAAAUUAGGUCUGUUCGACCUUUAAAAUUUUACAUGAUCUGAGUUUAAACCGGCGUAAGCCAGGUCGGUUUCUAUC
rnacentral:rRNA from 1 species